UAAAUCUUAAAAGUAUUUCUUCAUAGCUCUGUUUUGGGGGAAAUCUCACAGAAAAAUGUCCUUUGUUUCAAGCUCUUCAGAAGGCUUAAGGACAUAGGACAGCAUCCCUUGCAAAGCAAUUUUUAAAUUCCCCUGAAAGAAAGAGGAGCAGAAAUGCCUAGAGGAUGUUGAAUUUUGUCUCGCAAAUACUGUUUCAAUGUGCCCUUCAAGUAUGUGAUGUCCGGUGGGUAAAUGUAUAAUGGGAUUCAAAGGAGAUUGAUAAGCUUUUAAAUGGGGCUAAGAUUUAUGAAUUUCCUGAGUGGGCAUUUGAGUCGGGAUCACCGAAGCCUUGACAGCCGAUGCCCUCAACAAUCUGAGUGAACACGCCAGAGAUCUGCUCCAGAUUCCGGUUUACGGUAGAUCCAAUCCAGACUACAAACAUGUGGAGGGUGAGAGUAACCUGCGAAUCUAAAUUUGUUGCGAGAUGCACAAUAUUUGUGUAUCUGUCAGCAAUGGUAAACUUUCCUUUGCUUGUUUUCUCUUUUUCAGGCUCAACCAGAUGGAAAAAUGUCAUUCAAGCCCCUCAGACCUUCGCGCAAAGUUGUUCUGGUGGAUACACAGACGUGUACUUGUGAUACAUUGAUGUUUACUUUAUUCCUACUCAGAACAAUUGGCAAGGUCAAGUAUCCACACCAUUUAUCGACGCCAGUCUUGGGCAGCGUUAGGUUGACGGAAAGGACUCUGAAAUUUAUCAGCAGCAGAGAGGAUGCUGCUAUUCUGAUCAGAAUUCGUUUGGUAGGUAUAUUUGGGUUUGAAUUAGUUUUUCAUAUUUUUCUUUCUGCUUAUAGAAAACUUUUCUCUCGGGGAAAAUACAUGCUAAGGCUAAACGUCACUUGAAUUAACUAAUCAAUUACACAUUGCAGCCUUCAGCAAUUUUUAAUGAAAGGACACCGUCCACUUCAUGCUGAACUGUAAAAAGGGAUUCCUUUUUUGUAAUAUUAAUGUUACUGCACUGAACAGUGCUAUUAGAAGACGUCCCAGAAGCAACCAUGGUACAAAUUUUGGAGCGGCUCUAUAGAGGUGGCUUCUACUCAUAACUGAACCUGAACAAGAACAAAUAAAUCAAGGAAGCUACUCCUCCCCUUCUGCUGA
rnacentral:lncRNA from 1 species